rnacentral:rRNA from 1 species
UGCAUGGUUGUCGUCAGCUCGUGUCGUGAGAUGUUGGGGUUAAGUCCCGCAAACGAGCGCAAACCCCUAUUAUUAGUUGCCAGCAUUAGUUGGGCACUCUAGUGAGACUGCCGUUGACAAAACGGAGGAAGGUGGGGACGACGUCAAAUCAUCAUGCCCCUUAUGUCCUGGGCUACACACGUACUACAAUGGCAACAACAGAGGGCAGCCAGGCCGCGAGGUUGAGCGAAUCCCAAAAUGUUGUCUCAGUUCAGAUUGCAGGCUGCAACUCGCCUGCAUGAAGUCGGAAUUGCUAGUAAUGGCAGGUCAGCAUACUGCCGUGAAUACGUUCCCGGGCCUU